rnacentral:misc_RNA from 1 species
GAAAUGCGAUAAGUAAUGUGAAUUGCAGAAUUCAGUGAACCAUCGAACCUUUGAACGCACAUUGCGCCCCCUGGCAUCCCGGGGGGCAUGCCUGUCCGAGCGUCAUGCGUCACAUCGGACCCCCCCAGCUGGGGUCCGGAGUUGGGUGCCCGCGUCGCCCUCGACCUGAGAAGGCGCGGCGCUCAAAAUGAAACCCCCUUGGUGGAAGAUCACCCGGCGGAGCAGAGCGACCGAGGCAUGAUGCCACCGCUCGAAGCCCCGCCCCCCGAUCGACCCACGUCGGUCGGAGGCGCCAACGCAGCGACUGACCUCGGAUCAGGUAGGGAUACCCGCUGAACUUAAGC